rnacentral:lncRNA from 1 species
AGUUGUGGCUAAUAAAGUAAUGACCUUAUGACAUUUUAAACAUUUUUUCGUUACUUAUGCGGGCGUGACCUUGCCAGAGGAACCGCUGUUCAGGUUGAGGUAUGGGACCUGCGUCCGGCCAAGCAGUACGACACAUACGACAUGACGACAGCAGGCAGAAGACGUUAGCUUGCGUUUGCGCCGCCCUUGAGGUUGAGGUAGGGAACCUGUGCGCGCCGGAUUCGUAGGAGUACACGGAUAUAUAAAGUAGCGGAAUAUCAAAAUAUUAAAAUAGAGGGGAAGGAGGAACUGAAGUAGAGACGAAGAAGGUUGCUAAUCGAAGAAUUUUUAAUGGCUAUUGCGACUGCUAACGAAUAAACAUCACAUCCUGAUCUGCGUAUGCUACUCAUGGAACAGAAUCAUCCUUAUACAAUCUCGCCAGACGGGGAUGGCUGAACAGUCAUGUGUUCCAAGCUAGCCCAAUAAUAAGCCCAAUAAUAAGCCCAAGAAGAAGAAGAAACGCGAAAUCCAGCUCUUCGCCCAAACAGCUAAGGCUCGACCGCAUGGCCGAGUCAGUCACAUGGAUGCAGCCUAUGGCCCGUACCUAUCAUGGAAGCAAAAUAUCUGUGCGUCUACCAAUCUAUUCACCUAAGCAUAAUUGCUAACUGCCACUUUUUC